UGAUCUGGUUAUCUUUACUCAGCUGCCAGAAUUUUGAUGCGAACCGACAUAAGCCGCCAUACGAGAUUGAUAACAUUGCAAUGGAGAAUAUGGUGUUGGGUUUACAGGGUUGUUUCCCUAAGUCUCUCCAGAAAUGAUUGUUUUGUUUCUGGAUCACUGGAUAGAAUUGUCUUGCUUUGGGAUCAAAGGGCUGAGAAAUAUCAGGUGCAGAGCUUGAAUUGCAUUAUUAAUUUGUUGAAUUAUUUUCUCAUCCAUCUUUGCUAAAAGUGUUCCUCUGGAAGUAUGGUAUUCUAUGUGUUCAAGGGAGACCGGCUGCAGCUUACGACUAAGGAAUUUUUUUCUGUUGCCUUUGGAGGAUAUAUAAGAAUGUUGAUGCUAGGAAAUAUGAAAAGGUCGGAAUAUGUAAUAUGAAUGAAACUAUUUAUAAAAUUUACAGGUUCUGAUUAUGAAACUGUUUAUAGGGCCCUUUUGACAUAUUUUCUCUUAAAAGAGAUGUUUCAGAAGCCAAUAAAUGUUUUGAAGUUCAGUAAUGACUGCAGUCUUAUGCUUCUGACAACAUUUAAUGGUCAUAUUCAUGUGCUUGAUUCCUUCCAUGAAACCCUUUAGUUUUUGACACACAACGUCAAGCCAUUCUACUUUGGAGGCUUCUUUCAGUCCUGAGGCAAUGUUUGUCAUAUCAGGUUGUCUCUGCCAGAUCCAGUUGAAUAGUACUUGAUAUAGUAUUUGUGAACUAAUGCCAAGUGAUUUUGAGACAAUAAAGUUAUUUGUAAAGGAAGUAAGGAACUGCUUUAUUUAAGCUCCUUUUUCUCACUUGAUUAUCCACACAUUGGGUGACUGCCAGCUCAACAUCAACACUGACUGUUUUAAUAAUUUUUCAUACAAGACAGUUUUAUUGAUUCCCACUACCUGAAAGUGUACUUUAGUUGGUUCUGUUUGGAAUAUCUUGUUGUUUAGGAAAAUAAAUUCAGCUGAAAUAGAUUUUUGUCAGCAUGUAGAAUGCUUGGGAAUUAUAUAAUACUCCUUACUAGGUAUCUGAAAUGCCAUAAAGAUGAAGAAUUCAAGUUUCUAUAUGUUAUUUCUACUGGGAUCCAGUUAAGCUAGGCUUACACUUUCAGAGUAUCAUAAUCAAGAUAGAGAAUGACCUGAAAUCUCACCAUUAUUUUCUUUUGAAUGAGCUUUAGCUGACAUAUUAUAUAUAACUAUUCCUUUUUCCCCUUUUGAUUGAUCCCUGUGAAUGUGAGCUCAUCUCAUGAAGCUUUUUUGUGUUGGAUUUGAUGCAUCCAGGCUGGUAAAAGAGGCACUAACAAUUUUCUUUUUCUUCUUUGCUUUUAACCUACAUGAAAGGUUCUGGAGAUGUAGCUUUUAUGUUUGGAAUUUCGGAGAGUAAAAGAGGUUACCAGUUGGAUGAGUACUAGAGCAGAAUCUCCUGUAAUCAAAUGGGCCCAUGAUGCUUAAUGUUUGUAACUGGCUUUCUGACUUAAUCCUUCUGGAUACCAGACUUAGAAGGAAGAAGGAAUUUGCAAUGGCGGUGAUCCCAGAAAAUGGCAUGAAAUGUUUUUAUUCAUUGAGCUUUUGCCUGGGACAAAUCAGUUGGAGACUAAGAGAUGGAGAUUACAAACUAUGGCGGCACUCCAUGUGAGUAAUGAAAGCAGUUUUAUAUGCUUUCAAUAUUUAUUCCAUUUCAUGGCGUCUUCUUGAGGUCUGGCGUGGUGCACGAGGGACUAUUUGUGGAGGUGAGAAUUGUCGGAGCAAUAAGUCAUCUUGGAGUGUCAUGUAGGUAUGCCGUGUAACUUUUACAACAAUUUGAUCUGUUUUUGGUAGAUAUUUCCUCCUUGUGUAUGAUAGGUUGUGAAAUGAAUGGAUAGUGAGCCUGCAAGGAGUUCGAAUGCUCGAAGAACAACAAUAUAUAUGCUGAAUGAAACAGUUGUUUGAUAAAUUUACUGAA